UUUCCGUCAUGACACAAAAACGCCCAUCAGGCGUUCCUGUAGCGUUUCAUCCUAUGGUUUCAUCGAUCAAUCAAGAAGAGGUGAGUGAGUUUCGCAAGGCAUGCUGGGUAUGCUACCCUUCCUUUUUUGGCGGUUUUACCUCGUAGUAACUUUCCAGAAAAACGAAAGGGUUAUGAUGAGAGAUUAUGUCAUACCCUGGCACAUGCUUUGUCCAAUGGACCAUGGAAGGGACUUUACUUGGCUGACGAGGACGCACCUCACCAGUAUCAGAGCAACAGCUGUGGGGUGUUUAUGCUGAUGGUGAGAUGCAUUAUUUUCAGAAAUGAUGACUGAUGACUAGUUUGCAAAACAACUAACUCAUUUGUAUGUUAAUUUCAGUACGCAAUGUAUUCUACCCUCAAAAGCAAUAUGAUUUCAGUCAUCUCAAUCAGAUGUGUAGCAUGAAAUAUAAGGCUUUUAAUAAUCUAGUCAUCCUUACUGGAGGCUACAAUUAACAUGCAUCAUAGGUCAUACACAUUAUUUGUCUUCAGGCACUGCACUUACGGGAGGAGAUGGCUACAUCUUCACAAUAAUUUACACUGCUAAACAGUACUGUAACAUGGAUUUGUAUUAGGCUAUGAAGUCAUUUAAAGCAUAACUUUACUUUUCAGGGGGACAUGCUCUAUCAGGAGGUGGUGGUUGGACAGCUGUUGGAGACCUUUAUGCUUGAAAGGUUUAUAUACUGUGUCCAUGUUGCUAUUUACUUAUUUUUGGUGCUCACGAAGAUCGUAGCCAAUACACUUGUCUCUCUGUCUCUAGCCCUGCAGAACUAGCUGGCUCCUUCUCACCCUCUCCAUCUCCCCAUCUCAGUUACACCUUCCAAUCACUAAGCAGUGAAAGCCCUGCAGGACUAGCUGGCACACCAAGCUCACCCUCUCCAUCUCCCCAUCUCAGCCACACGCUCCAAUCUGGCACAACAGAGGACAGGCCAUUCUUACCACCCUAAGUCCUUCAGUAAAUUGUACAAGAGACGCUGAGACUGUACAUGGCGAUGCUUGGCGUGUUCAACAGGGUUUCAAACACAUUCCGAGAACUAAUCAAGCCUCUCCAUCAUUCCAUAUAUAUAAAUGACAGUUUGGCAGGGGACAUUAAGCUUAAUAAAGACAAUCUCAUCUACAUAACGGUUAGAAAGAUUUACAACAAUGCAGGCUGUGUCAGUGGCCUUGCGCUACGCCUCAAAGGCUUCUCAAAAAAGAAGAAUUGGCCAAGCGCACCCCUGGUACUGAGGCACGUUGCAUAUGGCAGGUUUGUCAUAAAAGAUGUCUGCCUAGCAUAAUGUUCUUUUAUUACUCCUUUUUCGUUUUAUUUGGGACGUCAUUUUUGCAAUCCCUUUCAUUUGUAAAUGUACAUACUACUGUAGUAAAUGUAUCUGCCCAGAAAUGCUGGUAUUUUAUUACUCCUUUCUUUUUUGUUUUUGUGACAAAUGCUAUACGAUGUAUAUAACAUACAUUUGUGCCUACGAUGUAUGUUGUAAGGUUAAUUGUUACAGAGCAAUUACUGUAUUUUGUCUUUAUUGAAAACAUUCAAUUGGAAAAGUAAGUGAACACUUGGAGUCAAAUGGCCUACUGUUUGAGCCUUCAUAGUGUCUGGUAACUGGAUUUGAACUGCAUAAUGUCCCAAGUGUUAUUUUAAUCUAUUAAUUAUUUAAUUUGGGCAUAUUCUUAAACAACUAUAUCAAACAUCUCACUUAUACCUAAUACCCUACCUAUACUAACCCAGAAGAUAAUGAACAUGAGAUCAUGGAGCCUCCCUGUAAUGAUCGUGUUGCAUCAAGUUUGAUGCAAAGUUUGGGCCGAGAUCCGACACAUAAAUGUAAGCCAACAUUCUGUAGGCCCAGCUGGCUAACGUACCCGUAUUACGAGAUCGAAAAAGAAGGGGGCGCUAACGUCAGUUCUAUGCUGCCAAUGCUACUAGAUCGACGAAGAAGAACGGGGCGUUCCAGCCUGCGUAGACGAAAACGCCCAUCACACGAG